rnacentral:rRNA from 1 species
GACGAACGCUGGCGGCGUGCUUAACACAUGCAAGUCGAACGAAGUGGCGAACGGGUGAGUAACGCGUAAUCAACCUGCCCUUCAGAGGGGGACAACAGUUGGAAACGACUGCUAAUACCGCAUACUGAAGGAGGGGAUUGCGUCUGAUUAGCUAGUUGGAGGGGUAACGGCCCACCAAGGCGAUGAUCAGUAGCCGGUCUGAGAGGAUUAACGGCCACAUUGGGAUUGAGACACGGCCCAGACUUCUACGGGAGGCAGCAGUGGGGAAUCUUCCGCAAUUGACCAAAGACUGACUGAGCAACGCCGCGUGGGUGGUGACGGCCUUCGGGUUGUAAAGCUAUGUUAAUCGGGACGCGGUACCGGAAUAGACAGCCACUGCUAAUUACGUGAAAGCAGCCGCGGUAAUGC